rnacentral:tRNA from 1 species
AUAAGUCUUAUAGUCAAUAAUGAUAUAAAAUUGCAAAUUUUAAGGGAUAAAAAGUAAAUUAUUAAGGCUU